CCAUGAUGACAUCAGUGGUUAUGACAUUCCCGUUGCAUUGUUGAUGUAAGAGAAAUUGAGCGUUACAAGCUCGGUUCUGCAUACACUGUUGCAUUGACAUUUUACACCGACAAGAUUUACAACCACCGACAUAAUCUUGCGACAACAAUGUCGGCAGCUCCGACGUGUGGACAUCAAAGAUAUACUUUCAGCUGCACCGCCGCCUUGCCUCCAGACUUCUCCUGGGGCAUAAAUAACGCAUAACUUGACCGUCGAUGAACGAGCGUCUGUUGGAAGACGAGAUAGCCUAUGUGACCAGCUAAACUGAAAGAUUAGAAUAGGAGGUUGCAUCGACGGGAGGGAAGAACCCAGCGAACAUGAAAAAUCCUUCGAUGAUGCUACGUAUCACCAGGAGGCAAGCGUGAUUCCAUUAGUCAGGACCUCACCACCGACGACCACGAUUCAAAAUCAUAAGUAGAUCUCGGUACUAGACUUACAGAUCUUACAGUGUAUUCUGAUUCCAUGUGUUGUGUAGCUUUGGAAAUAUUACAAUAUGUGGACACUUACCAAAAAUGAUAGACGAGUACUAGAGUUCAAGUGGACGCAGACAAACUUGCGAUUUUUGUUAAUUCAUUUGAAGGCCACUACUUACGGAAGAGCGGUUACAUUUGAAAUAUUCUCGAAAAAGAAAAGGUAGCACCUUCCUUUCCACGUGUAGGUAUCGAAUUGCGUACAUUAACACCGCAACAGAGCGGCGCGACAGCGUACAAGGAAGCAGCCGUGGAAGGAUGCAUCAACAGGCGUUGACCGCAUGCGGUGUAAACUCGCCUUCAGGGGACCUGGAGUUACCCUCGAAACCCCUGGCAGGGGGUCCGUACACCGGCUUCUCCUUCCUCUUUUUUAAAAGUGAAAAAAUGCUUUAAAAGGGCGACUCAGAGUGUCGAUACAGCACUGGCCAAUUUUCAGCCCGCCAAGAUUUCUCACAGCAGUAAACCAAGCAGUAACUACCGGCUGCCGCAAAAAGCCUGAAAUUAAUAAUAAUAACGACAGGUUACGCGGUAAAGCUGCUAACUGGAGCAUCCCGCCGGGCAAAUAUGAACAUCACAGGGAAACAGGUCUCCAUUGGGAACAGUAAGCUCUACCGGUUCCAGGAUUACACGAUUAUGUUUCUUUGUAGCAAGAAAUGAGAGGUGACGAAGGAUUACGUAAAACUUCAACGAGGGUUACUUUGUAUUAUGAAGCUGAAGGUGGGGUAAUACUUGUGGCUAUUUUACGCAAUUUUCGAUCAUUUACUGAUAUAGAAAUGAUAGAAAGUGCAUGUAGUAAAUUUUGGUAUUUUUGAAUUUUUGGAUCUUUGAAUUUUUCAAUCUUCAAAU